CGGACCGGCGCACGGGUGCGUAACGCGUAUGCAACCUGCCUGAUACCGGGGUAUAGCCCAUGGAAACGUGGAUUAACACCCCAUAGUACUUUUAUCCUGCAUGGGAUGUGAGUUAAAUGUUCAAGGUAUCGGAUGGGCAUGCGUCCUAUUAGUUAGUUGGCGGGGUAACAGCCCACCAAGACGAUGAUAGGUAGGGGUUCUGAGAGGAAGGUCCCCCACAUUGGAACUGAGACACGGUCCAA
rnacentral:rRNA from 1 species